rnacentral:rRNA from 1 species
CAGUCGCCGCGGUAACACGGAGGGUGCAAGCGUUGUCCGGAUUUAUUGGGUUUAAAGGGUGCGUAGGCGGCUAUUUAAGUCAGCGGUGAAAGACUCCGGCUCAACCGGAGCAGUGCCAUUGAUACUGGAUAGCUUGAGUGUUGGAGGGGUACAUGGAAUUGAUGGUGUAGCGGUGAAAUGCAUAGAUACCAUCAGGAACACCGAUAGCGAAGGCAUUGUACUGGCCAACAACUGACGCUGAGGCACGAAAGCAUGGGGAGCGAACAGGAUUAGAGACCCCAGUAGUCCCUGUCUCUUAUAC